ensembl:piRNA 21ur-15416 ncRNA
UAAUUUAAAACGAAGUUUAGG